rnacentral:rRNA from 1 species
CAGUCGCCACGGUAAUACGGAGGGUGCAAGCGUUAAUCGGAAUUACUGGGCGUAAAGCGCACGCAGGCGGUUUGUUAAGUCAGAUGUGAAAUCCCCGAGCUUAACUUGGGAACUGCAUUUGAAACUGGCAAGCUAGAGUCCUGUAGAGGGGGGUAGAAUUCCAGGUGUAGCGGUGAAAUGCGUAGAGAUCUGGAGGAAUACCGGUGGCGAAGGCGGCCCCCUGGACAAAGACUGACGCUCAUGCACGAAAGCGUGGGGAGCAAACAGGAUUAGAUACCCCGGUAGUCCCUGUCUCUUAUAC